rnacentral:lncRNA from 1 species
CUCAGUUCAUCUACUCUGGCUCCCCAUAGCAGAAUUUUCCAAUUACUGCAUAUUCCAAAGCCUCCAUAAUAUUCAUCUUGCAAACUUCUUCGGUCCAUGUCACACGAUGUACUUCACUAACAAUCAAAGGUUUCUUAGUAGGAAUUGAAUCUCCAAUUUCCUCAUGUGAAGGAGAGGUAGGCUUUAUCAAAUCAAUAAACUUCAAUGUUGCUUUCUGAUUGUCAUUUUGUUCUCCACUGAUUUCUUUAAUCUUUGUACAUUCGUUAGGUUAAAUAGGCUCACAAGGCAAACAACUAGGGUUCAUUUGGGAGUUGGGCUGAAAUAGGUUGGGAAAGUUUUCUUCAAUAGUGAGGGAGAAGGUCUGGUCAGCCACCACCGGUGACUGACCAGUGGUUGUCAUGGCCAUGUCAGACGAAGGCUAGCGUUUAGGUGAAGAGGGAAGAUGACGUACUCAUCACCACCUCUCUGUCAUUUGUCGCGUACGUAUCAUAUGCUAAAAUGCUUAUAACUAUUCUUCUGGAUUUUGUUAAAAUCGUGCUACUUUCUUUUGUGUGUCGACAUAUUUUUUUUGAUCCAUCUUUAAACGAAUGUUACAUUUUCUUAUUUAUUAACUAUUAAUAUUCGUUCCCGCACAAUGCACGGCCAGUUAUAAACAAAAAUAAUAGUAAUAAUUAUUCAAUAAUUAAUUUGAGCACUUUAAAUUUUGUUAGUAUAAUAAUAUUGCAACUAUUGUUUUAUUUCUUAUCGCAAUAUUAUUUUCAUGAGUAAAAAGUGUGACAAAUAAAAGAAACAAAGCAUAUUAGUGAAUAGUUACUCAAUAAACCCCACAAAAGAACAUUAAUAACAUGGUGAUGAUAUGUAUUAAAUUAUUUUUAAAAAAUAAAACAUUCUCACUUCGAAUAAAACAAAUAAUUUUAUUAACUUAAUUCAAAAAUUAACAACACUAAAUUCAAAAAAAUUGCCUGUCAAUUCAAAUUCAUUAUUAUUCCAUGAUCUCCUAAAUAUUGUCAUAAAAUUAUCAUGUAGUUUAUUAACUCAUCAUUUCUGCUCUUAAAUAUUUUUUAGUAUUACUCUUCUUUCAAUAAACAUGUGAAAAAUAAUCAAUAUAUCUAUAACAUACUUCAUAAUUCAAAUUUAGCAUAUAAUGUGAAAAUAAGAAAUAUCUUAGAUGUCUCCAAAUAUAUAUAAGUAUAUAUAAAAACACAUUAUUUGCUUGUGUAAUUAAUGUUUAGGAAAAAUCUAAUGUAAUUAGCACAUGCAAAAUUUUGAAGGUCACUUUAUCCUUUUCUUUCAAACUCAUGCACUUGAGAAUCACUAGUUUACUAUAAAUGAUUUAUUUUCUAAUCUUCAUCUAAGUUAUGAAAGUAAAAAAAGAGUAUUUAUGGAAUUGAGUAGAAUAUUGUCACAUUGAAAAAAAUAUGAUUGGUGCAUAACAACAAAGAAAAAAAAAGUUAACAUUAACAAUGUGGCUAUUACAUCAAACAAUUUUACUAUUGACAGAGAAAUACAUGAACUUUGCCUUAUUCCAAGCCAUUAGUCCUAUAUUCGUAUCAAAUAAAUGUUUAAGCUACUUAUCUACUAUCACAAACAAAGUUUAUGAAAUAUCCAACAUCUUUGAUAAAUUUAAAAAUUAAUCAAUUUAUAGGUGUACCUUAAAGAUAUUACGAAAUAAAUGUGAAAAGCUAACACUAAUCCUCAUGAGUGAUUGAAAAACAAACUUAUCAAAAAAAUCUAAGAAGAUAUUAACAAAUCAAUUGAAUUUUCAAGAUUUUCCUUGUGUAUCCUAUAAAAAAAGUUUUAAAAUAAUUAAAAAUAUAAUCCUUACGGGAGAAAAACGCCUUGUAAGAAUAACUAACCUUGUAGGAAAAUAUUCAGUAAGCAAAAACAAAGAUCUUCAAGUUUGAGGAUCACCCAUACCAGUAAUUUACAAUAAAACAAAAAGAAAAGUCAUCAAAAUGCCUCUAAACUUAUCUGGACGCUGAAACUUGGUUCAAAAUUGGUUCAUCAAGAUACCAUUCAAAUAUUAAAAUUAGUUCAAAAAUAUUAUUUCAACUAAUGAUUUUUUUUAAAUCACAAUUAAAAUUUUUAUUAAAUAUGUGACAUCUUUUGAUUUAUUGAAACUAAAUUAAUUAAAAUGUUAGAUUCAAUUCGGACUCAACUCAAACUACCGACCCAAACCGUACAAAAUUUGCCCCGACUAAAAUUAUUCGGUAGUAUGAGUAAUUUUUGCUAUCAAAUGCAGAAAUUUUGUUGACUUAAAAUCUGUCAGUUUAAUGUAAUGUUGUUAAGAAUUCUAUUCCCUAAUUAUAAUGUUAGUUUGGUAUUUUUUUUUGUGAUGUAUAUUUCUCUGUGUUAGCUAGCAAAACUAAUUGAGAUUAGGGGAGGAUCCAGGAUUUGAAAGUUGUGGGUGCUCACUUCCUUUAAGGAAAAAAACUGUGUUGCUACUACGAAUAGAAUCCAUGCCACUUUAGGCAUCAAGGUGCUUAAGUUCCACACUAAAGCCAAAACACCCAACAGAUAUUUGUGUCUAUGGAUACUUAACAAUACAUUAUAACCAAUUUUGUUGUAUUUCUAUAUAAAUAUAUAAAAAUUUUACAGGGAUCAAUGGGUUCUCAAGAACCCGACAUGGAUCACAUGGGUCCGUCCCUGAUUGAGAUGUCUUAGUUAUACCACGUCUUAGGCAACACUGUCUCGUUACUUCCUUCAUUUUAUUUUACGUGACAUAUUUAAUUUGUAUUAAAAAAAAUAACAUUCUUUCCUAAAUAGUUGUCACUAUUUUUGUUCAUAUACAUCAUAUUGUCUUGCCAUCACUGGAAAAUGCAUUUCCGAUGCGAGAUCACUUCACCCCAUACACUUCACACCAUUCACCAAUCAAAAUUAUGAUUAAUUCUGUAGGAUUUAGAUCGGGUAGUUUUAGUUGAGUCCAAAUCAAGAUUAACAUUUAAAUUAAUUUAGUUUCAACCGAUAGAAAUUGCCACGCAUUUAAUAAUAAAUUUAAUUAUGAUUUUAAAAAUUUGUUUGUUGCAAGGAUAUUUUUGAGACAUAAAGGUGGAUGGAGGAGUAUUUUUGAACCAAUUUCAAUACUUGAAGGGUAUUUCUGACCCUUUUUAAAUUUUUAAUUAUGAUUUAAAAAAAUCAUUAGUUGUAAGGAUAUUUUUGAGACAUAACGGUGGAUGAAGGGGUAUUUUUGAAUAAAUUUAAAUACUUAGGGGGUAUUUCUGUCCCAAUAGGUUAACUGAGAGUAUUUUUAAACCAAUUUCAAUUUUUGAAAUUAAAUCACCUACGAUUUUUUUUUUCUUGUGCAAUUUGAGAGGAAAGAGGGUAACUUGCUUUGUAGAGGCUGACUUUCGUGUUUUAUAUGUUGGGUCAAAGUGGAAAAAAGGUCCCAAAUACCCCUCUGGAUACUUUUUUUUUUAAUUACUGAAAACUAAAUAAUCAACGGGCAGACCGAUGCGUUGCAUCAAUAGGAUCGAUGCAAUGGACGGCGCCCCAUUGAGUCCACGUCGGUUCACUAAAAAUUGCACUGAGCUGAGGGAAAAAUUAUCUAUCAACGAGAUGGAUGAAGCGACGUGUCGAAUCACUAUUUUUGUCACUUGAAAUGGCCUAAACAGGAUUUGAAAAAUUUAAAACUUGUCCAAAAAUACCUAAUGACAUUUUUGAUCAUGUAUCACAAUCAAGAUAGAUAAUUUAAGGUCAUAAAGGUGGUGAAAUAGAGUCACCAACUUAAGAAGGCUAAAAUAACACUAAGUAUGAAUACUUAGCUAAAUUUUUCUAAGUAUGAGACCCCCUUAACAAGCUUAAAGGACUGAGUUAGGCUAAGGGUUUUGUGGGGUCUUACAUUAGACAAUGCUCUAUAACUUUUGCCUUCAGCAGAAUUUAGUUCAGUUGCAUCAUCAUCUGACCUAAGUAUCCCACAUUCCAAAUUUAUUUCCCUUACUAGUGAAUUUGAGAAAAGAUAUAAUUAUACUAUCACAUAUAUUGGAAGGUAGCAUGCCAGAUAAAUAUUUAAAAGGUGAUUUGGAAGAGACAACCACUAAUACAAUUGUUGGCGAAAUUAUGACAUAAAUAAUAAGACAAAGAACACAAAAUUUAAUGUGGUUUGGAGUCGAAUGAUCCUACAUCCAUCAGAGAACAACUAUAUUUAUAUUAUUAAUAUAAAAAGGGAGAGAUUCCUAAUACAUCAAAAAGAAUUUCUCUCUUAACUCUCUCUAAUCUUACAAUGUAUUUUACUAUAAAUUUUAGGGUGAUUUCUAAUUUGCUAUAAAUUUAUAGAACUUACGAUGCUUAAACUUGGAGAAUAUGCAUGUACUUAAGGCUAUUUGUUUGAUUUGAUGUGUUUUUGUAGUGUUUUGCAAUAAACUAGGCUUGGGAUGCCAAAAGGAAGAAAAAAAUGAAAAAUUAAAGUUUUGGACUACUUACUUAGGCAUUUUUGGGCAUAUGUGGCACUUACCGGGCGUAUGUGGCCAAAGUAUGUAUUAGAACAUAAAGUCCAAAGGCUCAGGAGCAUGAAUAAGAAAACUCUGUCAUAUACUAAGGGCACACAUGAUUCGUUUGUACCACAUAUGAUCCGUAUGUGACCAAGGUAUGUUACUGAAGUCUAAGUAUAGAGAGUUGAAGGAUCAGUACUUGAGGUCUGGCACAUACUUAGGACCACAUACAGUCCGUAAUAGGGUCCAUUUGUGGCCUUUGUAAGUGGCCACCGACCUUAACUUUUCCAAAUCAUUUCGACCUAAUUUCCUAGGGUUUCCAAGUAACCUAAACCUACUCUUAUGAUGUUUUUAGUUAUUAUUAUGUACGUUUAGUUAUUUUUUCCUAUUUUAUUUAGAAUUUGAGUUCUAGGGUUCUUGUAAUCUAUAAAAAAAAACUCUUUAGGCUUUGUUUAGAUGAUUCAUUGACAUAUUCAUGGAUAGGCCUUUGGGGGCUAUCUUAUAAUCUUAUUGUUUUUGGUUUGUUAUUCAAUUUAAGAUUGGGAUUUCUUCUUUCAUUAUUAUGAGAUUGAUUUUAUAAUUAUAUCUGUGGUUUCAUGAUUGAUCUCAUAACUAUGAGUGACUAAUUCCCUUAACUAGGGUUGUGGGAACCCUGAAAAAUUAAUAAAGUGGCGGAAGUGGCAAGUUGUUCUAGAUAAGCAUUAUUUCAUGUAUUGGAUUUUUAAGCGCUUUAAUUACUUUCUUAAGGGGUGAACAUGUUAUGAUCCUAUCUAGGUAUCAUUGCUUUCUCCAAAAGAAGAGUAGUGACAGGGAAAAGAAAAUCACAACAAUGAUUUAGGGUUAACUACUGAAAGAAGCUUACAUGUACCAUCUUCUUAAGACAGUUAACUCUCAUCUAAUAAACUUGAUACCAAGAGAAGAUAGCUGAAAUUGGGGUCUUAGGCAAGGGUUAGUAAGGAGACACCUAAGAUCGAGAGGUGAUGAGUAAAAUUUAUCAAAUAGUGCCAAGAGGUGGUUGGUGAUACAUAACUUGUCAGAUUCUCUGUGCAAGGUAUUAGAAUAGUUCAACGGUGCACGAUAAGUAUACGAAGUUAGAAUUCAGGGUGAACACAAACCUAGUGUUUGUAUUAGAUUAUUUACAACCAAAAGCAUUCAGAUUCUUGUUACUUCCUGCUAGUUACUACAAAUCCCUCCCUUUACUUUUCCAUAUUGCCUGGUGAGUUCAACAAGUUUGAGAAGAAUUUCUGAUAUAUUCCUUAUGGGAUCGACCCCGACCUAGUUGGGUUACUAUAUUUUGAUAGCGACCGUUUUAUCCUUUUAUGGAGGGAUAGUUUGGGCAUUAUCAAUUUCAACAAGAAAGAAUGUCCAUACGUUUAUAGAUGGUCAAACUUGGGCUCCAAGCACAAAACAAGAAAAUAAAAAAAUAAAUACAAAAUUUAUUCUCCCUAAAUAUUAGUUGCUCUCUAAGUUUAUUUCCUAGUCAAAUAAAUUGGCACGUGAAAUUUUAUUUCACACGGAUUUCACCCCACAAAUUAAACCAAACCAACUCUUUAAUCUCUAUCUAGUUUGUGUUCCGAGUAUGCAUAUGAACAACUCUGGAAAAAUUGUUCUCUUAUAGUUGCAUCAGUUGAAGUGUACUUGUAACGCCCCAAAUCUAGUACUCGAAAUGCUACACGGUGCCCAUGACCUCGAAGGACCAUAAGCUAACUCAUAACUGAUAUCUAUACCUGUACACUGCAUAAUAUAUGUAUAUAAAUGCAGAAAUAAAGGCUGAUAGGCCAUAAGGCUCAAUACUAUAAUAAAACUGAUAAAAUAUAACAUCUGAGUGAGGUAUCAAAUACCCAAAAUAACUAAAAUAAAAUGUCUAAAACAUGAUAGUCUGAAAAGCCUCUAACUUCUAAAUAAGGAGUUGAUAGGACAUGUCCCCAACUAACUCCAACUGCUGAAAUAAACUGAAUACUCAAAUGAUAAAAAGAUAAUCAUGUCCUCAGAGAAUGAGGACUCACUGCAAAGUCUGACUGCAAAAAAUAGAUGGCUACUGAGGAUCUGGAGCUUGUGCGUUUGAACCUAUGGUAUAUAAUAAAAUACUAUAGCGCGAAUGCAUCAGUAAAAUUGAAUAAACUAGUAUGCAUGUGGGGUAGGAUGAAUGCAAAGGGUUUAUGUACGUGAACAUAAACUAACUGACUGUAUAACAUGAAUGUGAGAAUACAUGCAUAGAUCAGAGACAGUAACUGAACUCGUAAUAACAUGAUUACUGAAUUUGAUUAUUGAUAACAUGAGAUACUGAUGAAUGAUGUAACUGACACUAAGCGACUGUCCCUAACAGUUUUUGUCCUUAUGGAACUAGUUGAGUUCUGUACUGUUCUGAGUUGACUGUAUCUGAAAAUCUUGAAUUUUGUAGAACUAUCUAAGUUCUAUUACUAAAACUUAGCUACUGUAUCUGACAGUCCUAAAAUUUGUGACUGAAACUGUGGGAAGUAGUCAUCUAGCCGACAUGCCCCUAAUACGCCAUUAUGGUUGAGUUGGGGUCCAAUCUAUAACCCCAAUUGGAAGGGUGUCAAUACCGCGCCACUGGUAAGGACAAACUAUGAGUGACCAUCAUAUAACAAGUUACUAUGAUGAGAAUGGAGGGACCCUCAUAAAAAAAGUUAGACCACCUCAUAUACCCUCAUAUAAUAGGUUAUGAUGUCUCAACCUACGCUAGCUACGUAGUUAUAAAACGCAAGGAUUACUUCUAAGAAUUACACCCUAUAAAUAACAGGUGAGUUUACAUCCUUGGGUUCACUCGGUGCUAAUUUCUACUCCCAUCUGAAUAGACACUAAAUAUGAGUAACUAAACUGAAUAGACUGAGCUAACUGAGUUCUAUUGAGUGGCGGAAUAGUACUGAUAUUUCUGAGUUACUGAGUUUCUGAGAUUUACUGAAUUUUCCUGAGUCACAUAACUGACUGAAUUCUACUGAACUUGGCUUGACUGAGGAUAUCGUGAAAAUAUGACACUAGCUCUAGGCACGCAGCUAUAUCUUUUUUGGAUACAAGUACCCCCAGGAUUCGACAGAAGGAAACUAACAAUGCAUGACAUUCUUGAAUACACAACCAACACCAACAAUUCAUAAUACAAUAAGUUGGGGAUUUCAGGAAGUACAUGAAUACAUAAUCUUGUACAUGAAGAGAACUACAUGUAAACAUAGAAUAAUUUCAUAAGGCUAAUUCAUAAGCAAUCCAACAACAUUUACAAAGCACAUUAAUAGCAUGGGAGUCCUUUGAACUUAAGGGUAAAACAUGAAUCCAUUACUUAAGUCACAAUUGAGUUAUAUUACAUGAUUUCUAGUCUUCUAAGCAUUUUAUCAAACACCUUACAUGCACAACUUAGGGCAUAGGUGAAAUCAUCAAAUUUCACAAAUCAUAAACCACCAAAUUCAUGGAUUUCAAUUUAUAUGCUAACGUAGUUUCAUAAUUUUACAUAAAGAUCCCAACUUGGGAGUCAAACAACAACCAUCACAUAAACGUGAAUAAACCGCAACAUAAUAACAUGUUUUAUAAUUUAAAAUAGGGUUAUUUAGUUUGAUGGAUGAAAGGAAUCCAUAAAUCAACACUAUGCAUAUCUUAGACAGAAGAUUCUUGAUGAUUUAUGGAGAAAUUUGCUUGAACUUGAAUCCCCAAUUAAAAACUCUAAUGUGUUCUUGAGAGGAUUUUGAGAAAAAUGGGUGUAUUUUGGUGUAAAUUGGGCUUAAUCCCGUGUUUUUGAGUACAUAUAUGGUGACAAAAGGACCAAUUUGCCCUUGGAGACAAGGAAGUAGAAUGCAGCAAAAUUUGGACCAAGGAUGCAGCCUGGGCGACGCCUUGGUUUUCCCCUAAAAAUAGCAGGGCGGCACCUUGCUUAAGGAGGAAGAGGUCCAAGGCUCUAAGCUGGGCGGCUCCCCCUUAUAGCCUUUGGCUACUGGUUUGAAAUCCAAACAAACCCUAAACGAAUUUUGAAAAUUCUAAAACUCACCCAAAAUGUACUAUUAACUUGCCCCAUCGUAACGCAACUUGAGAAUCAAAAAACGAAUGUCGGUAAGGUUGUCAAAUAAAUCUCCGAAGUUUGAAGGCUCAAAAUGAGACUAAGUGUUGAACACUUAGCUAAAAUAUUCUAAGUGUUGGACCUUUUAAAGAGCUUUUAGGAGCUUAAAGUGUUGAUUAUCAAUGUAAGAUUUUGCGGGUCUUACAAUAUAUCCCCUUUGGGAACAUUCGUCCCCGAAUGAGAUUGACUGAGAGGGGAGAAACGAUAAUCUGAAACACAUACUGGACAUGAACGACUGAAACAUGAUUUUGUGGCUGACAUGACUGAUAAGAAGAAUAUAUAUAUAUAUAUAUAUAUAUAUAUACGCAUAUCUGAUGCAUGUGUAACUAAUUUAUGAAUGCCUGACUGAGCGUUCUGAUAAAUUGAGGUUCUCAUAAUGAGAAUGCAUGUCUGAUGCAUGAUUAUAUAACUGAAUUGAUACAUGAAUGCAUGACUAAGUAUGCAAUGGUACUUAGUACCGAGUUUAUAAAGGAAUUCUGAACAUGAAACUGAAUGAGCUUAAGGAGAACUGUUACCUUGAGCUUGAUCUGAGUUAGCAGAGAAGUGGUGAGGGUACUUGGUACGCAUGUCUGCUUCUGCUUUCCAAGUAGCUCCCUCAACGGACUGAUUCCGCCAAAGAACUUUGACUAGAGGGACUUCUUUGUUCCUCAGUCUACGAGUCUGAUAAUCUAGGAUUUCGACUGGAGUCUCUUCAUAAGAGAGGCGGUUCUAAACAUCUACUAACAAGAAAAUUCUAUGUCUCAAAUCCACAACACAACAACCCAACAUCACAACCAUUACAACCAUCAUACCAAACACCAACACCAUUUACCAAAAUCAACAAUAAUGUACCAAUACCACCAAUAACAAUACGAAAUCCAUCUCCAAAAAGAGAGGAAGUCAAAUACUCCACAAGUCUAAAGGUCCAAAAGUAAUGAAAGAAUACUCAAAACUCUAAAGACAUAACUAUGGAGCAACUCUAACAGUUUUCAAGAAGAUGAACAUAACAAUCAAAUAAACUGUAACCCACAUGAGCAAAUGCGGGGCUCACUAGGAAUAUGCUACCUUAAGAUCUCUAGCUAACUAAAUUCUCCUCAUCACUUGCGUUCUCUGUAAAAAUAAUAACGAGAAGUAAGACGUUUGCUCGGCGAGUAAUAACACUUAACCACAAUUAUUUUAAUAGGGGCAAGUCAUAAACAUCAUGCAAUAAAUCCUCUUUCAAAAAAUAGUAACAAUAACAGUAUCAUUUGUUUCCUGUAAAUAAAAUGAACUAAUAAUAAACUCAAUAAGCAUUGUAUCAUAUAAAAUAAUACAUAUUUGAGAGGUUUCCAAGAAUGAACAUGUAAUUAGUGUGGCACUCUACUUUAAGAACAGCCAAUAAUAGUAUACCCCUCAUAAAAAAGUCAAAUAUUAUAUGAGUAGGUCCCUACUCGAGGGAUACCAGUAACAGUAUGUUAGUUCUACCUUCCCACUAGUGAGGGAUGUAACAGUAAUCAAUAAAUACAAGAUGCACUAGGUCAAACGAUCCCACCGUUAGCAACGGGAUUCAAAUCAAGGUCUACUCAUACUUAUACUUUCUUUGUAAACAAUAGAUAUUCCUAUGAAAACAUUUUUCGAAAGUUGAAUAAGAAAAUAUGUAAAAAAAUACGUAUUUCUCAUGUGAGUGAAAAACUGUCAUAACAUCACUGAUCAUAUCUCAAUUAAUGGUAAAUAUGUCUUAUGAACAUCUAGAAUACCCAAUUUCAGUAUCAUAUCAAGUAAAAGAUUUGCCCCACAUGCAAUUUCAAAGCAUUCAGUAAUUCUUGUUUCAUCAAAAUCAUGUAUAAAAUAUGCAAGUUAAGAAAUACAAACCAUUGUAAGGUCACUACUCACAGUAUACGUGUCGGAAUACCAAACUUGUCACCUCGAACGAUUCAUAUCACUUUUUUGGAUCAAAUCUAUAAUCACAUCACAUCACAUCAAUCUCGAGUUAAUUCUCUUAUUUUAGGGUAAUCCGUGAUAAAAUUAGACUAGCCAACCUUUAAAGCUGCAUGGUAAGCUUCAAUUUCUUAAACUUCAUGCCCAAAAUCACACCUUAAUAUGCAUAUUUCUUGUCUUUGAUAAAUAAAUUUUAAUACCCAAAAUAAUUUAACUAGAUCAAAAAUUACAAUAAAAAUAUAGAAACAGAUUUACCUUAAGCUCGAAAGAAGCUCCCGAUCAAAUCCGCUUUAUUUUUAUUUUCACUGACCAAUAAUUGAUUCUUCAUUUUCCUGCUUUUGUGUGUGCUUAGGCAGAACCACUACUGUCUUUGCUAAUAUUGAGUGCUUUACAGGUAAAUAGGCAAAGCCCUUUCCUUGAAUCCAAUUUUAUAUAUAUAAAAAAAAAUACAGAAAGUGACAAACUUAAGAUUAUAAUUACAAUAAAUAGCAAUACUUUUAAAAAUUACAGUUUAUAGCAAAAUUAGCAUUUAAAAUUAACUAGACAAGUGCGUAUUUUACUCCCACUACUUUACCUUUUCCUAUUUUCACUUCAUUAUUUCACUCCUCUCCAAUCUAACCAUAUCUUAUCUCCUCUUUUUUCUCAAUUUUGGUCUAUUUUUCUUAAUUAUUGAUAAAUAUUGUACUCCAUCAAAUAAGGUAAAUUGAUAUUUACAGUUAUUGUAUGUUAUCUCUUUCAUAUAAUUUAUAUAUUUUAUAUUUGUGAAUUUUGUAUUUUGUUACGAUCCGGAGAUUUUUUUUUGUAUGUUGCAUUUUGUGUCUCUUUCAAAUUUUUUGGAAUUUUUUUGUAUCACUUUCGGAUUGUAUGUUAUGUUUUGUGAAUUUUUUAUAUUUUUUAACACCAGUGAACAUAGAAGAGGUGAGAUCAAAGUAUCUAACGAUCCGGAG